rnacentral:tRNA from 1 species
GCUCCCAUCGUCUAGCGGUUAGGACGCCGCCCUCUCACGGCGGUAACAGGGGUUCGAAUCCCCUUGGGAGUACCA